rnacentral:lncRNA from 1 species
AGUCAAUCCUGCAAUUGAAGAUGAAAGUAACACCUUGAAAGCAUGGGAAGAAGUCAAGGAAGUCAUGGACAGUGGACACAUUCCAUGUGCUAAACUGGAUUUCACAUAAGGAAGGCUAUACAGGAAAUAGAAAAUAUGACUUCUGACCUCAAGUUUAUAAUCCAGUUGAAUAAAAGGUUAAUACAUCAGCUCCUUGAAAACUCACAACAGAGUGUCAGGGAGUCAAAAGUGACUUGAAAUUUGUAUGAACCAAAAAAGAGAUUCUUCCUUUGACUACACAAGCAACAGCUGUCUAGCUUCCUGCACAGUACUGGAUCUAAUGCCUCUACAGAAAUCUAGGUCAAAACACUUGGAAUGCAUGAAUAUCAAACAGAGUUUUCAAAACAGCAAAUGAAUACAUCUUUAACUGGUGACAUUUUCCCGUAGCAUAUGGCUGCAAGCUCAGGGGGACUGCAUGCUUUUUUGAUGAAUAUGUUCCGUCAAAAACUAAGGGAUGGCAGUGGGCUUAUGUCACCUUCUGUUUUGCCUUAUGAAAUGAUAAUGCAAAUGCAUAGCUAGAUACGAUGAUCACAGGAUUUUUACCUUCAGUCCAAUUCUAAAGUCACAUCACACCUCCUGGUUGCAUUGCUAAGUCUUUGGUCAUGUUCAGAUGUACAGGAUGCCCUGUCAAAGACGUAGUUGGAGAAAAAAGUUGCCUUUGUUGAAUGGAGUGUGACUAGUGGCAAGUAAAAUAACUGACCCAGAAAGCAGAAGACAGAAAUUUUGGGAGGGAUUCUUCCACAUCAGAAAUAUGUAGUCAAAAAGAGUUGAUGUGAUGCACCUUGGGAAAUUCAUUCUUGAUUCAUGGAGUCAUAUGAGUGAGCGACACAAAGCAUGAAUGAAGUAAAGAGAACUGAGUUCUAGUGCCAACUGUGUCACUAACUAACUAGCUCUGUAACUUUGGGCAAAUCUCUUGGGUCUGUUUCCUUAUCUGGGAAAUGGAAAGGGCAGGUCUAGAUAAUAUUGAAGAACUGGACUAGGUACAACUUCCUCAUUUUAACAGAAAACAAACAAAGAAAUAAACAAACAAACAAACUGGGAUCCA